CGAUGCUUACCUGCAGUCGAACGGCAGCGCGAGGAGCUUGCUCCUUGGCGGCGAGUGGCGGACGGGUGAGUAACGCGUAGGAAUCUGCCUAGUAGUGGGGGAUAACCCGGGGAAACUCGGGCUAAUACCGCAUAAUCUCUACGGAGCAAAGUGGGGGACUUUCGAGCCUCACGCUAUUAGAUGAGCCUGCGUCGGAUUAGCUUGUUGGUGGGGUAAAGGCCUACCAAGGCAACGAUCCGUAGCUGGUCUGAGAGGAUGAUCAGCCGCACUGGGACUGAGACACGGCCCAGACUCCUACGGGAGGCAGCAGUGGGGAAUAUUGGACAAUGGGGGCAACCCUGAUCCAGCAAUGCUGCGUGUGUGAAGAAGGCCUUCGGGUUGUAAAGCACUUUCAGUGGGGAAGAAAGACCAAAGAAUAAUACUCUUUGGGGUUGACGUUACCCGCAGAAGAAGCACUGGCUAACUCUGUGCCAGCAGCCGCGGUAAUACAGAGAGUGCAAGCGUUAAUCGGAAUUACUGGGCGUAAAGCGCGCGUAGGUGGAUACUUAAGUCGGAUGUGAAAGCCCUGGGCUUAACCUAGGAAUUGCACCCGAUACUGGGUAUCUAGAGUAUAGUAGAGGGUAGUGGAAUUUCCGGUGUAGCGGUGAAAUGCGUAGAUAUCGGAAAGAACACCAGUGGCGAAGGCGGCUACCUGGACUAAUACUGACACUGAGGUGCGAAAGCGUGGGGAGCAAACAGGAUUAGAGACCCUGGUAGUCCACGCUGUCAACGAUGAGAACUGGCUGUUGGGAGGGUCUUCCUCUUAGUAGCGAAGCUAACGCGUUAAGUUCUC
rnacentral:rRNA from 1 species